CGAGCGGAAAGGCCACUUCGGUGGUACUCGAGCGGCGAACGGGUGAGUAACACGUGAGUAAUCUGCCCUUGGCUUUGGGAUAGCCACCGGAAACGGUGAUUAAUACCGGAUACGACCACUCCAGGCAUCUGGUGGUGGUGGAAAGUUUUUCGGCCAGGGAUGUGCUCGCGGCCUAUCAGCUUGAUGGUGAGGUAAUGGCUCACCAUGGCUUCGACGGGUAGCCGGCCUGAGAGGGUGACCGGCCACACUGGGACUGAGACACGGCCCAGACUCCUACGGGAGGCAGCAGUGGGGAAUAUUGCACAAUGGGCGCAAGCCUGAUGCAGCGACGCCGCGUGAGGGAUGACGGCCUUCGGGUUGUAAACCUCUUUCAGCAGGGACGAAGCGUAAGUGACGGUACCUGCAGAAGAAGCACCGGCCAACUACGUGCCAGCAGCCGCGGUGAUACGUAGGGUGCGAGCGUUGUCCGGAUUUAUUGGGCGUAAAGGGCUCGUAGGUGGUUGAUCGCGUCGGAAGUGUAAUCUUGGGGCUUAACCCUGAGCGUGCUUUCGAUACGGGUUGACUUGAGGAAGGUAGGGGAGAAUGGAAUUCCUGGUGGAGCGGUGGAAUGCGCAGAUAUCAGGAGGAACACCAGUGGCGAAGGCGGUUCUCUGGGCCUUUCCUGACGCUGAGGAGCGAAAGCGUGGGGAGCGAACAGGCUUAGAUACCCUGGUAGUCCACGCUGUAAACGGUGGGUACUAGGUGUGGGGUCCAUUCCACGGGUUCCGUGCCGUAGCUAACGCUUUAAGUACCCCGCCUGGGGAGUACGGCCGCAAGGCUAAAACUCAAAGAAAUUGACGGGGGCCCGCACAAGCGGCGGAGCAUGUGGAUUAAUUCGAUGCAACGCGAAGAACCUUACCUGGGCUUGACAUAUAGAGGAUCGCUACAGAGAUGUGGUUUCCCUUGUGGCUUCUAUACAGGUGGUGCAUGGUUGUCGUCAGCUCGUGUCGUGAGAUGUUGGGUUAAGUCCCGCAACGAGCGCAACCCUUGUCUUAUGUUGCCAGCACGUUAUGGUGGGGACUCGUGAGAGACUGCCGGGGUCAACUCGGAGGAAGGUGGGGAUGACGUCAAAUCAUCAUGCCCCUUAUGUCCAGGGCUUCACACAUGCUACAAUGGCCGGUACAGAGGGCUGCGAUGCCGUGAGGCGGAGCGAAUCUCUU
rnacentral:rRNA from 1 species